rnacentral:misc_RNA from 1 species
AAGUCGUAACAAGGUUUCCGUAGGUGAACCUGCGGAAGGAUCAUUAACACGUAUCCAAACGUUAAAACCCCCCCCGUGAACCUUCAUCCUGGUCUUGUAACCCGCGUAGUUCGCAAUCUCUGAUAAAUCAUAGCCCGGAAAGUAGUAGUGAUUCAGAGACCUCUGGCUACGUGCGAACAUUGGAACAGUUACUGCAAGGAUAGCGCUUCUACGAUUUCUGUAGACCGUACACUCGGGCAGGAGCUUUGCCAAAGGGUCCCCAUGCCCCCUAAUAACCCCACAGUUUAAUGUGAAGCUCAAUGUAAUACACUGGGUAAAAAAAUCGACAACUGUUAACAAUGGAUAUCUUGGUUCUC